rnacentral:rRNA from 1 species
CAGUAGCCGCGGGAAUACGGAGGGUGCAAGCGUUAAUCGGAAUUACUGGGCGUAAAGCGUGCGUAGGCGGUUCGUUAAGUCUGUUGUGAAAGCCCCGGGCUCAACCUGGGAAUGGCAAUGGAUACUGGCGAGCUAGAGUGUGUCAGAGGAUGGUGGAAUUCCUGGUGUAGCGGUGAAAUGCGUAGAUAUCAGGAGGAACACCCAUGGCGAAGGCAGCAAACUGGGCCACAUCUGACGCUGAGGCGCGAGAGCGUGGGUAGCAAACAGGAUUAGAUACCCGUGUAGUCCCUGUCUCUUAUCC